UACGAAGGGGGCUAGCGUUGUUCGGAAUUACUGGGCGUAAAGCGCACGUAGGCGGGCGAUUAAGUCAGGGGUGAAAUCCCGGAGCUCAACUCCGGAACUGCCUUUGAUACUGGUCGUCUAGAGAUCGGAAGAGGUGAGUGGAAUUCCCAGUGUAGAGGUGAAAUUCGUAGAUAUUCGCAAGAACACCAGUGGCGAAGGCGGCUCACUGGCCCGGAACUGACGCUGAGGCACGAAAGCGUGGGGAGCAAACAGG
rnacentral:rRNA from 1 species